rnacentral:lncRNA from 12 species
CAGAACCAGGGGCGUGGGGGCCAAGGGAGGAAGAGAGCCUGCCGGCGGCCACCGCGAGGACCACCGCCCUCCCCUGUCCCCCUUCCUUCCCCGGGGAACUCCAUUUGCCCAGAGCCCCGUCUGUCCGUGUCAGCGUCCAGGACGCU